AUGGCAUCCAUGGAGACCCUCGCCUUCGAUUGAUAUGGGCCCCCUUUCCUCAUCAGCAAGGAUCAGGACCACAAGACCCGCCUUAUGGGACUUGAGGCCCUCGAGUCUCAUAUAGUGGCAGCAAAGGCUGUAGCAAAUACGAUGAGAACAUCACUUGGACCAAAUGGGCUUGAUAAGAUGAUGGUGGAUAAGGAUGGCAAUGUGACUGUAAGUAAUGAUGGGGUCACCAUCUUAAGCAUGAUAGAUGUCGAUCAUCAGAUUGCCAAGCUAAUGGUGGAAAUGUCCAAGUCUCAGGAUGAUGAAAUUGGAGAUGGAACCACAGGAGUGGUUGUCCUGGCUGGUGCCUUGUUAGAAUAAGCCCAGGAGUUGCUAGACCAAGGUAUUCACCCAAUCAGAAUAGCUGGUGGCUAUAAGCAGGCUGUCUGUGUUGCUAUUGAACACCUGGACAAGAUCAGCGAUAGCAUCCUUGUUGAUGUAAAGGACACCAAACCCCCGAUUCAGACUGCAGAAACCAUGCUGGGCUCCAAAGUGAUCAACAGUUGUUACCGACAAAUGGCUGAGAUUGCUGUGAAUGCCGUCCUUACUGUAACAGAUAUGGAGCAGAGAGGUGUUGACUUUGAGCUUAUCAAAGUGGAAAGCAAAGUGGGUGGCAGGCUGGAGGACACUAAAUGGAUUAAGGACAUGAUUGUGGACAAGGAUCUCAGUCACCCACAGAUGCCAAAAAAGUGGAAGAUGCUAAGAUUGUAAUUCUCACAUGUCCAUUUGAAUACCCAAACCAAAAACAAAGCAUAAGCUGGAUGUGACCUCUGUAGAAGAUCAUAAAGCCCUUCAGAAAUAUGAAAAGGAGACAUUUUAAGAGAUGAUUCAACAAAUUAAAGAGACUGGUGCUAAAAUAGAAAUUUGUCAGUGGGACUCUGAUGAUGAAGCAAAUCACUUACUUCUUCAGAACAACUUGCCUGUGGUUCGCUGGGUAGGAGGACCUGAAAUUGAACUGAUUGCCAUCACAACAGGAGGGCAGAUCACCCCCAAGUUCUCAGAGCUCUCGGCCAGGAAGCUGGGCUUUGCUGGUCUUGUACAGGAGAUCUCAUUUGGGACAACUAAGGAUAAAAUGCUGGUUAUUGAGCAGUGUAAGAACUCCAGAGCUGUAAUCAUUUUUAUGAGAAGAGGAAAUAAGAUGAGUAUUGAGGAGGUGAAACGACCCCUUCAUGAUGCUUUGUGUGUCAUCUGGAAGCUCAUCCAUGAUAAUCAUGUGGUGUGUGGAGGAGGGGCUGCUGAGAUAUCCUGUGCCCUGCCAGUUAGCCAAGAGGUGGAUAAGUGCCCCACCUUAGAACUCUAUGCCUUGAGAGCAUUUGCCAACGCUUUGGAGGUCAUUCCCAAGGCCCUUUCUGAAAACAGUGACAUGAAUCCCAUCCAGACUAUGACCGAAGCCCGAGCCAGACAAGUAAAUGAGAGGAACCUUGCUCUUGGCGUCGACUGUUUGCACAAGGGGACAAAUGAUAUGAAGCAAUAGCAUGUCAUAGAAACCUUCAUUGGCAAAAAAGCAACAGAUAUCUCUUGCAACACAAAUGAUUAGAAUGAUUUUGACGAUUGACAACAUUCGUAAGCCUGGAGAAUCUGAAGAAUGA